GAAAUGCGACACUUGGUGUGAAUUGCAUAAUCCCGUGACCCAUCGAGUCUUUGAACGAAAUUUGCACCCAAAGCCAUUAGGUUGAGGGCACGUCUGCCUAGGCGUCUCACGUUGCGUCGCCCGUACCCCCUCUCCUCGAAGGGAAGGGUUGCGAGCAGAUGUUCGCCUCCCGCGCGAGGUUGGCCUAAAAACGAGUCCCCCGCGAUAGACGACACUUCGCGACGAGUGGUGGUUGACAAACCGUUGCGUCGCCUCGCGCACAUCCGAGUCGUCGCGGGAGGUUUGUUGUGACCUUAUCGCGCAGCUGCCAAGGCACUCCAAUCGCGACCCCAGGUCAGGCAAGAUUACCCACUGAGUUUAA
rnacentral:misc_RNA from 1 species